AACGAACGCUGGCGGCAUGCCUAACACAUGCAAGUCGAACGAGACCUUCGGGUCUAGUGGCGCACGGGUGCGUAACGCGUGGGAACCUGCCCUUAGGUUCGGAAUAACUCCCCGAAAGGGGUGCUAAUACCGGAUAAUGUCUUCGGACCAAAGAUUUAUCGCCUUUGGAUGGGCCCGCGUUGGAUUAGCUGGUUGGUAGGGUAAAAGCCUACCAAGGCGCCGAUCCAUAGCUGGUCUGAGAGGAUGAUCAGCCACACUGGGACUGAGACGCGGCCCAGACUCCUACGCGAUGCAGCAGUGGGGAAUAUAGGAAAACGGCGGAAGGCCUGAUCCAGCACUGCCGGGUGAGUGCUGAAGUCGUUAGGGUUGUAAAGCUCUUUUACCCGGGAUGAUAAUGACAGUACCGGGAGAAUAAGCUCCGGCUAACUCCGUG
rnacentral:rRNA from 1 species